GACAGAGGGGGCAAGCGUUGCUCGGAAUUACUGGGCGUAAAGGGCGCGUAGGCGGGAUGGCAAGUCGGUCGUGAAAUCCCUCGGCUCAACCGAGGAACGUCGAUCGAUACUGCUGUUCUUGAGGAUUGCAGAGGAGACUGGAAUUCCCGGUGUAGCGGUGAAAUGCGCAGAUAUCAGGAAGAACACCUAUGGCGAAGGCAGCUCUCUGGGACGGUACUGACGCUGAGACGCGAAAGCGUGGGGAGCGAACAGG
rnacentral:rRNA from 1 species